AUUUUCUCGUGGUGUGUGUGUCAUUUCAAUAACAAAGGUUUCAACAUGGUUGAAAUUUUCCUCUUUUCCUGGCCAGAGCAGCAGAAACACCUGUUACCUAUGUUCCUGUUUUCAACACCCAAAUUCAGAUGAUUUGGGUGUUAAACUGUUUCCUGGAAAUUUUUGGAAACAAGACUCGGAAAGAGGUUUUAUGCUGCUGGCAAUGAACACAAAUUCAUAUAAUGUUGCACCUACAGGUGGCUGCUGAGUGCCUUUUGAACUUCAGAGGAAGGCUUGUGUGAGCAAGGCAGAGACCUUAUGUUGGAGAUGGAAUGCUGCAAAAUGCAUGGAACUGUCCACCACCACUGUGCUGAAAUCAAGUGGAUCAAGGAGAUGUGGCACGUUGCAUCAUGACCAUCUGCUGCAGAGAUGUCCACGCAGCUGAGUAGGAGUAGGAUUGAACUUUGGCCUCAGGCUGUGAUGCAUGCUGUUGGACUGAUCCCUUCUGCUGCUGCUACUCAGAUCCCCUGGCUGGACUUGCAGCUCCUGGGGGAACACAUGCCUCAUGUCCUGGAAAGAACACAGUUCUGGAGUCAGAGGCCAUCAUUUCAUCUGGGCUAACUGUGUCUUGGUCCCUGACUAAUAUUGAGGCAAUGAAUGCAGAGUAUAGCUCAGCCCCAUCCUGGUUGAGAAAUUUCAAACAUACCAGGAAAGUAAAAGAUACGAGAGCCUUAACAAGGUUGUAAAUAUACAUGAAGUCAUCCUCUGCCUUUCUUCUUUCCUUGAGGCUAUGAUCUUUGCUACACGGGCUACAAUCUGAGUGUGGAGUGCUAAUUGCCAAAUUGACUUUACUGAGAAACAAAACAGAAGAAAAUAGAACUUAAUUUUCAAAUGUCAGUUAAAAACCCAUAUUAAGUGCAAGCAAUAUAAAAGACAAAGAAAACAAAAAGGGAACAUCGAACCCCACUGAAACAUACUUGGCAGGGAAAAGCAUUGCCUCAACUUUUCCCUGCUCAGAUUUUAAGGCCUCUUCAAGAGGACUCUUGGAUGACUCUGAAAUUAAGGUACAGACCAAUUUAGCCAAUCCAAGGAAAGCAGAGAAUAAACAAUUGAAGUGAGAAGGUCCCGAGGUCCUAAGUAUGUCUGGCGAUCUCUUCUACCACUCCUUGACUCUUUGGAGCACACCCUGACAGUGACUCAUUUGCAACUGGUCCAUGUAGGUAAGCCUUAACUUUUCUACCCUCCAAUCCCACACCUGCAAGUUCAACACCUGGAAUGUGAGAGUUGUCACAGGAUGGGCACUCCAGGAAUUAGGGGAUUUACUGGGAGGGCUCUGGGGAUUGAUACAAAUGAAAGAGAAGAGACUUCCAGUAGCAAGAUUGGGCCAAAGGAGAAGUAGAGCUGUGAGGCAGGCUCAACAAUGGUUUUGGCUAACACUAUGGGGAGCUUCAGAACUUCCCCUGUUGGUGCAAGAGAACUUGGCUUUUAAGCUCCCUGUGGAUCAAUCACUGGAUGCUGAUUGCUGUGGGAAGGAAGCAUGACACUGAGCAAGGUGGCUCUCCAGCAAUUUAUAAAAGGGGCUGACAGCUGCCUACAGCUCUUAGCAGCUGGGGCAACAAUUCCUCCUUUCUUAAAGGAGGAUCUAAGUGAUACAUCACAGCAUCCGUCGCAAGGACACUAAGACAGACACUGAUAAUUCCAGCAAAAGAGUAGAAAUCAGAUGAGAAAGGGGAGCCCAGCAGACCCAGAUUCCCUAGUGCCUCCAGCCCUUCCAGAUGGUCCAUUGGCAGGAAGCUUGCUAUACAAAUCCAUCAGGCUCUGGAAGAUGCAAGACAAAAGCUGAGAGGUAAGCUUAAAUCUUCUUUUUGCUGGUGGCUGCAUGGCCCGACUCUGAUACAAAGGCAAUGUCCACUAGCAACAGGGAAGCCAGAAACAGCUCCAAAAAUUGAUUCUACAAAGGAAGGACGUGAUUCAGAGUAAGCUGUUGUCUUCAUUGUCUCUAAGGAACCUGUGCUUUCAAAGCUCAGAUUGGUUUAACUCAACUACCUUGGAAUGUGGUAAGCAGCAAAGGCAAGUUCACCAAGAUUUCAGUCAUGUUAUAAGGGCUGAGCCAUGCUGGGCAUUGCUCUCUCAGUGACUCUUAUCAAAAUAAGGAUGACUCAGAUUCUUGAGUUAGCUUCUCUGAAAGCCUUCUACUUGCAGCAACUGGAGCCUGAAUUCCAGUAUCAACAAGGCAAUAGAUGCUCAUGAAAUGGGACUAACCCUAGAAUGAGAAACAGAUCCACAGAGAGAAAGUCUGAUCAUUCCUAGGUUUGGCUAUCCUUUUCCAGCUCUUCACUCCAGCAUUUUAAGCUUGGCCUGCAUAAGGAGACCUGGGGCCUGGAAUGAAGCUCUGGUCUCAGGGAGCUCCAAGUGAGAUGAUCAUGGUUGAAGAAGGUCCAAAUGAAGUCAGGUGUGGAGGACUGACCUGCUAUUUUCCGGGAUGACCUUUUGAGUCAUGAAAAACCAGGGAGUUAUGAGCCAAAUGGCAGGCCUUAUCUAUUUGGAUCAUCUUGAUUUUAGAAGGGAUGCCGUAUACAGUUAAACAGUUUGUGCACUGCACAGCUCCAGGGCUGUAUUUACACAGACCACAAUGUGAUCGGCUAUCUAAUCCCUCACAUGCUUCCUCUGGGAGGUCUUUUCUGAUCCUCUCACAGUCCACGGGACUCUCCCUUCAGUGGACACUCAAAGAUGCUACCAGACGCGCCUCUGACCCCAGUCUCCAGAAAGGACCACGCCCUCCAGAAGAAUUCUCACUGGUGAAAUCUGAAGACCCUAGAUGAGCUGCCAAGGGUGAACCAAGAAGGGGGCUUUAACUCCUCAAGUAAAACCCAGUCCCCUCAGUGAUGUUGAACUACCCAUAGAAAAACCACAUCGAGGCCAGUUGUGGUGACUCAAGACUGUAAUCCCAGCAUUUUGGGAGGCUGAGGUGGGUGGAUCACUUGAGGUCAGGAGUUCGAGCCCAGCCUGGCCAACAUGGUGAAACCCUGUCUCUACUAAAAAUACAAAAAUUGGCCUGCCGUGGUGGCGUGUAUCUGUAGUCCCAGCUACUUGGGAGGCUGAGGCAGGAGAAUCACUUCAACCUGGGAGGCAGAGGGUGUAGUGAGCUGAGAUUGCACCACUGCACUCCAGCCUGGGCGAAAGAGUGAGACUCUGUCUCAAAAAAAAAAAAACAAGAAAAGAAAAACCACAUCGAGGUGGGCCAGGGAGGACCCAGCCAUUGCCACAGAGGUGUUCAAAUGCAACCUCCUCUUGCAUAUGAAGGGAGAUCAGCUGACAGUUUAGCUUGAAACUCUCAGGAUACCAGAAUUCCCUACUUAGGAGCUGGGGCCAGAGCCAGCCAUGUGCAUUUGUUCAGGCUUCAGACAUCCUUCCUUAGGAGCCAUCAGGAACUGGACUUAGUUGAGCUGCGACUAAAUUUCAUCUUGCUUCGAACAAGAGACUGCAACCUUCCCAUUAAUACCACUCAGGCCCGAGCCAGAAUCCCCCUGUAGCUAUGACCUGCUCACUUGAUUACCCACUCAGCCUGGUUGGUACAACACCCCACCCCCAUCACUGCUCCUGGCCCACCCUCUAGGACCAUAGACAGCCCAGGACAAAGCAGCUGUACUAAUAGUAUGAGACACCGCAUAUGUUACCUGUGAAAUCUAGUAUAUAUCACACUCCACCACCUCAGUCUGGUGGACAGAGGCCAGCUUGCUUUGAUCUUUCCAUCCCCAGGGGCUAGUGCAGUGAGGAACACAUAGUGGGAGUUCAAAAAGCAUUUGUUAAUACUGCCAUGCAUAUAAAACAAAGUUUAAAAUUUCCUAAAGUAAUAAAAGGAGCAUAGCUCUAGUAUCAUCUAUUUUUUAUUACGUUGUGUUUACACGCCUCUGGUUAGUAACCCAAACCUGUUUCCAUGGUGAAUGUGACAAGACUAUGUAAUUAUGGGUCUGUAACUUUUUCUUUUUCUCUUUCUUUGGAAAAAGCUAUGUGAUUGCAGGACUAUAACUGUAUCUUCCUUUGUAAACUAUUCCUAAAUGUUAUCUUGUAGCUAACCUGUCACAGCCAAGGGCCUCCUAGAGUAGGCUUCUCCUGCCAGAAAGUUGGCUAUUUCGUGCAAAGUUCUUAUAAAUGUUUAAGGAGAACUAAGGCAGAAAAAUUAAAGGCCAGAAUGAGAAAAAGAGAAAUAACAUUUUUGUGGAGCUAACUUAUGCCAGAAUCUAUAUGGCCUCAUUUAAUCCUCACAACCCUUAUUUCACAGAUGAGAAAACUAAGGCUCAGAGAGGUUGCCUGAAGAGACGCCCCCAUUGAAUCCCCUGCGUUCCAGACACACUCCUCCCUACUUUAUUUAUUUAUUUAUUUUGAGACGAAGUUUUGCUCUUGUUGCCCAGGCUGGAGUGCAAUGGUGUGAUCUCAGCUCACCACAACCUCCACCUCCCAGGUUCAAGCGAUUCUCCUGCCUCAGCCUCCUGAGUAGCUGGGUUUACAGGCAUGUGCCAUCACACCCAGCUAAUUUUGUAUUUUUAGUAGAGAUGGGUUUCUCCAUGUUGGUCAGGCUGGUCUUGAACUCCCGACCUCAGGUGAUCCACCCGCCUCGGCCUCCCAAACUGCUUUGAUUACAGGUGUGAGCCACCGCACCCAGCCUCUCCUCCCUACUUUAAUCGUGUAGCAGUAGCUCCUUGUGGCAAUCAGGGUCCUUUACCCUUGCUAGUGUAGUAAUUCCUUUCUUAGUUACCUCGUCCUUCAGUAUGAGGAUCCCAGAGUGAUCAGGUGGUAGUGGCCACUUCAAGUUCAACGAGUAAGUCCCAUGGCAUUCAUUCAUCCACUCCGCACUCCACCACGGAUACUAGCUGUGGGGAAAUAGCACCACAUGCCUUGUUUUGGCUCAAUGCAUUUCUAUAUCAUAGCGCAAAUCCAGCAGAGUGUUAUCUCUGAAAUGGAGCCUUACUGGGGAUGACACUGUAUUGGUCCGUUUUCACACUGCCAUAAAGAAUACUUGAGACUGGAUAAUUUAGAAACAAAAGAGGUUUAAUUGACUUACAGUUCUGCGUGGUUGGGGAAGCCUCAGGAAACUUACAAUCAUGGCGGAAGGUGAAGGGGAAGCAAGGCACGUCUUACAUGGCACCGAGACAGAGAGAGAGAGAGCGCACAGGGGAAACUGAAACUUUAAAACCAUCAGAUCUCAUGAGAACUCCCUCACUAUCAUGAGAACAGCAUGGCGGAAACCGCCCCCAUGAUUCAGUCACCUCCCACCAGCUCCCUCCCUGCAAUAUGGGUAUUACAAUUCAAGAUGAGAUUUGGGUGGGGACACAGAGCCAAAUCAUAUCAGACACUCCUUAAUAAGGUGUUCUAUUAAGGUGGUUGCUUCUGAAUAAUGGGGUACAUUGUCAGACCAGAGGAUUCUGGGUUAUGUGUCCAUUGUUGCACUCUCCCUGCCCUUUAUUUUAUUUUAUUUUAUUUUAUUUAUUUAUUUAUUUUUGAGAAAGAGCUUCACUCUGUUGCCCAGGCUGGAGUGCAGUGGCACAAUCUUGGCUCACUGCAACCUCCACCUCCCAGGUUCAAGUGAUUCUUGUGCAUCACCCUCCCAAGUAGCUGGGAUUACAUGUGCGCACCACCACACCUGGCUAAUUUUUGUAUUUUUAGUAGAGAUGGGGUUUUACCAUGUUGGCCAGGCUGGUCUCAAACUCCUGGCCUCAAGUGAUCUGCCCAUCUUGGACUCCCAAAGUGCUGGGAUUAUAGGCAUGAACCACAAUACCCAGCCUGUUGCACCCCUUUGUCAUAAAAAUGGGCCCUUUCUUCUGAGACAGUGUUGUGCUGUGUACCAUGCUAAGAGGCCAAGCAUCUUGUAGACCAAUAAUGGUAGCUCUUAUGGAGGCAUGGUGGGCUGGAAAAGAAAAUAUAACUGGAGUAAGUAUCAAUUUUGUUAAGGGACAAUUUCUACUUCCUCUGGCAUAAAAGAGUCUGAGAUAAUCAACCUGCCACAAAUGUCCUUGACGAACUUUGUGAUAUCAACGUUUCAAGGUCAGUUCUUGCUGUGGGUUAACCUGGGUGAGAGGGAACCCAUGUUGUUGGACCCAUACAUAGCUUCCAUCCCUGCCACCACAGGCACUCUGUUUGUGCAUUCAUUAUGCCACCACUGGAGUGGCUUAGGAGACAGGCUGGCUGACAUCCAUAGGAUAAGUCAUCCUGUCCAUCCACCUGGCUGUUGAGAGCCUUCUCUGCAAGGGAUGCUCCCUGUUGGGCAUCAAUGUGAGAUCCAAAGAUCUAGAUGCUUUUUACUUAUUCCCAGAAGUCCAUCCACAUGCCCUUUCCCCAGACAUCCUUGUCCCAUAUCUUCCAGUCUUACUCCUUUCAAGUUCCUGGCCAACCAGCCAAAGCAUUCAUUGCCGCCCCCAGAAUUCUUGUUAAUCCACACCUUAGGCUAGUUUUCCUCCCAUAAAAAAUGAAACAAUUAAAUUUACUACUGUUCUCUGCUUUACCUACCAGGAAAAUGUUCCUUUAACCACUGUACUUUAUAAAAUAAAUGUUUGGCCAAAACCAAUAAUUAAUGCCAACUCAUCUAUGAGAAAAUUUUCUCUCCCUUUAUUGGAUAUAGGAUGAAAGGGACUAGGACCCCUCUCCCCCACCAAUAAAGCCAGUGAUGUGAGUUGAGAGAGACAUACUGUUGCAACAAGGGUACUGAGU
rnacentral:lncRNA from 10 species